rnacentral:lncRNA from 1 species
CUUAUAUCUCUAUAUCCAGGCGACAGCAAGCUUGCUCCAUUGAAUUGAUCCUCUUUCCUCCAUAAGCACCAAAUCAUAGACCACUCGUCUAGCCAUUCCUAAAGAAAGGCUCCACCAGGUUGUGAUAUCGAUAUUUCCAUACUUUUCUUUAACAAUUUUUGAAGCAAGAUGGUGUGGUUCAUAGCCCUCAUAUUGAUCUGAUCACCCACCAUUUCUUCUCAUUUAACUAAUCAAACAGCCUUUCUAGCAGUACUAUAAAUAACUCGUUUAGUAACACAUAUAACUCCUGGCUUUUAACUAAAUUAUGCUACAUAUCCAUGCGGUGGUGCUAUGAUUGAGUCGUCGUCAUCAUAAUCAUCGUCACCAUCGCCUUCAUUUCUCCCACAUAUGUGGAGACAAAUUAUGGCAUCAGCUUCAUUGCUUGUCAACUUGGGGUAAUCCAUCAGCUUCACAGCAUAAAAAAUCACCAUUUUGAUAUAUCUCGAUCUAGAGAAUGAGGCAAUACUUGAAGUAUAUUAGGGUUAGAACAACAGAAUUUCCCCAUUUAUAGCUUCAAAAACCAAUAACAUUUCUGAUUUUUAGCACAUUUGGGAUUUGCAUGAGCUUUCACUCAAAAUGAUUCUUUUUUUUUAAGAUAACUUUUCACUCUCAUGAAUCUUAUACGUAGAGUACAAAUUCACAUUAUGUGGUUGAUCUUAAUACAUUUUUUGCUGAUUGGCAAAAAGAGACCAAUACACGAGUUAAACUCAUGGCAGGACGUUGCCCUACACUGCUAUCUUGUGGCCAGCAACAGCUGUUGCACACGCCUAUACUGGAUUUCGUGUGCAGAAAAUUUUUCAGCUCCAAAGUAGUCAAAGAGUUUCAACCAUAUUCCAUGAAUGAAGCUUGAGAAUUUGUUUGAAUGGAAAUUAAGCAUAUGUUUGGAGGGUAUUUUUUGGAAGAAGAAAAUGAAUUUUUGGACCGUUUGUUGGUCACUUGGGCCCCACAUGAGAGUGUAGUGGUCAAUUGUUGCGACUGCUAACAGGUGGUAACGGUAGGGAAAUGAAUUUUUUAGCCCAAAAAAUGCCCUCCAAACAGAGACUAAGAAUUAUUUUGGUCAAGCACACAUCGAAAAUGUCUUUUGAUUUUAGCAGGACAUUGUGUUGCACAAGUUGGUCAUCUUACACUAGGUUCAAAUAACGUCUGGUAUAAUCAUGCUUGUGCAAUAAUUUAGGAGUUAUUUGUCAUGUUCAAAAUGUUGGAUUUAAUUGAAAGUUGAUAAUUGCUUCUGUAUUUAAGUCAUUGUGUGAAUCUGUAUUGUGAGAAAAAUUUGAUUUUGUUAACAUACAUUCAUGUUGCAUUGAUUAUUUCGUUAGAGCACUUAAUGUUAAAAAAUCAAAAUGUUGUUAGGACCUACUUGGAAGAGCUUGACUUCUACUACUAUAAGCUCACCUACUUGAAUUUAACCUACACUUCUAAUACAUAUGAAUUAAAAACUCUCGAAUUUGCCCCCAGGGCAUAUCUCCCAGUGGCAAAGGAGAGGGCGGAUAUGGCUCAGCGCGGCAGUGUGCAGAGUUCGAUUCCCCGCAAGGUGGAAUUGGCUUUGUUGCAAGCGGGAGUUACCAUAUGGGUUAACAACCUUGGCCUAUCCAUGUGCUCUCCACCCUGGCUCCUGGGAGGAACAUCCUGCGAUUUACCUCCUCCACGAUGGCCCAGGACAGGGUCGGUGGGGGCCCUUAAGAUUGGGGUUCAACCUUUUUUUAAAAACUCUCGAAUUUUUUUUUUUUUUUGAACAUUUGCUUUGUCACUUAUAAGCACUAUUGUCUGACAUUCUUGAGGGGUGCAAUUUUGAAACUUGUGCUUUUCAUUUCGAUUGGUGUUUCUAAGGUAUGGUAUUUUUUUUAAUCAUGGCAGCAAGAGCAAAAUGACAAUUGUAUUUAUAGAAGAAAAAGCAGAACGUAUGGUAGAUCGGACUUUCACCUAUUUGAAAAGAAUGUAUAUCAAUGGAAGAGGUGAAUAGUUAUGUCCGCGAUUACGUCUUGCCAACCUAGAUCUACAUGCAUGAAGCAAGCAAGUAGGGAUUUAGUUUCGUGGCUCGAAUAUUGAAUACGAAUUUCGUACUACAUUUUACUACCGUUAAAUUUUUACCGUAUCUUGUUUAUACUUUUUCUCGUGCAUAGUAUUUUCCUUUAGUCCAAAGUUUUGAUUAUAAAAUGAAUAUGUUAAAGACUAGGAGGAUUGAGGCUGCAGUCAUAUACUGGUCUAUUUUGAUCACCCAAUCAUAACUUGAAAGAAAUUUAUUCAACUAGUAUAUUCUACACCAAGAACUGAAAAUUAUAUAUUUGAAGAAGCCAAUCUUCUAGUUGACGAAGUUGACAAAAUCAAAAUAUAGGGUCACUUAAAUUUCCACAUGCAAUACUGAUUGUUAACGUUGAAGAGAAAAUAGGAAGUGAUGUUACUUAAUGGCAGAGCCAUUAUGACAUAUAGCUAGCUAGGCAAUUGUCAAUUGUAGAGCAAGUCACCUUGAACGGCAACAAGGUGGGUUUGGGGCGGGCCAGACUCCCCCUGCUCCCAUCCCGUAGAGCAUUUUCCUUCCCUGUAUCCGUCCCAUUAACCAUUUAAGACGGGGCGACAGUUGCCCCGUUUACGUACUCGUUUAAAUUAUUUUUUUUCUUUUUUUUUUUUAUAAUUUUUGAUAAUUCAUUUUAAUACCCACAUUCAUUCAAGUGAGACAAUAAUAUAAUUAUUAAAUUUUUUAAUUAAUUUAUUUAUUUUUAAAAGUUAAAAUAUUCGAAUAUAUUGGGUAAAUUGAUUUUUAUUCUUUAUAAUAUUUCUUAAAUAAUCUUAGUUGCCAUCAUUUAUUGAAAUUAAUGAAAAUUAAUGGAGUUUUUCUAUUUAGAGUAUAUUUGAGCCCCAUUAUUUCAUAAUAAUACAUUUUAGAAUAGUAAAUUGAUUGAUAAUGCGUAGUUCAAAAAUAAUGAAAAGUUUUGAAUGUAUGUGUAAUAUUAUUUUAUUAAAGAAUGUGUGGUCGAAAAGAAGAGAAUGAAAAAUGUAUUACAAAAUGAAUGGAAAUCAAACAAGGGCAUAAAGUAUUGAAUUCUUAAAAUUUUAAAAAAAAAGUUAAACGGGUAAGGUUGGGCUGGGCCCCUGUUACUCGUAUCCUCCUCAAGGCGAAAUUUCCCAUCCUGUGCCCGGCCUGAUUACUCGAUUAAGCGGGUUUGAUGGAUAUUUUUACCAUCCUUGUUGAGGCCACUUGAUUUCGGAUGUCCUUGAGGCUACCUCCAUCUAUAUUUUCUUUUCGUUUGGUUAUACGAAUUCCAAGUAUCACCUGUUUAAAACUAAAGUUUGAUUAUAUACCUGCAUAAUAUUUACACAAUUAAUGAAUUCUCACAACUUAUACCAAAGCAAAACAUUAAACUACUCCCGAGGGCCAGUCAUAGAAAAAGGAAUCCAAAUAGUUAAAGUGGUUAGAUUGAGAAUGAGUCUACGUCCAAUCUUACAAGACUUAUUCGCGUUACUAAUUCUUAUUCUUGAAUUCUUUCACCCAAUGUUCAUUAGCAACCUAUUGUUGGAUGAAAAUAAUCGUAUAUGUCAUAAAAAGGUCAAAGACUAAGAGUAUACCAAUAUUGUAGUCAUACACUAGUAACUAGUUGGAGUGUUCCACACCAAGUAUUGGAAACUAAUAUUUGAACAAGCUAGUCAACUGGUUAACAAAGUCGACCAAAUCAAAUUAUAGGGUUGCAUAAUUGUAAAGAUUUGAAACUUGGGAUAGUAUAAUAUAAGAGUUGUGCUAUGUGUACAGCAGAGGGGUUUACAGAACCCCUUCAGAGCACACACAAUAGUGGUGAUGGAUGGAUUUUCUAAUAAUAUUUUACUCACAUGGGGCCCUCCCAUGUGAGUAUUUUGGAGGGGUUCUGUUUAUCCCUCCCUUGUACACACAGAUUAGUUCAUGAUAUAAUUGUUUUGAGAAUAAAUAUUGUGAAAAAAAAAAUUAGAAUGCGUGGUUAGUAAAUAGGAAAAAAAAGACCACGAGUCCACGUGCACAAAUAUAAUAUUAAAAGAAUGAUUCUUUGAAAACAAAUUUAAGAAAAAAAUGAGAUUUAACAAAAUAUGCACAAAACUUGGGUUUGAUUGUCAAAAGUAAGAUUUUACAUUGUUUAGAUUUUGUGAAUGUUUUGUCUCAAAAUUGUUAUAAAAUUUCAUGUUGCUUAAAUAUAAAAAUAAUAAUCGAUGCUUAAUAUUUUUUUACGCAUAUGCUCUUAAAAGCUUACAAUUUGAUCUUAUCGUUUAGUUAUGCUUUAUGCUUUUAGAACAUUGCAAUUAUUUAUUUUGGCAUGCUCGACCUGCUUCAUUAGUUCAACAUAACUAAUUUACAGUCUAUAUACCUUUCAAUGCUCUAAGAGAUUUAGCAUUAUGGUUAUUGUUUGUGAUAUCAUGCUUCAAACCGUCUGCCUUAUAUCUCUAUAUCCAGGCGACAGCAAGCUCACUCCAUUAAAUUGAUCCUCUUUCUUCCAUAAGCACCAAAUCAAAGACUGCUCGUCUAGCCAUUUCUAAAGAAGGGCUCCACCAAGUUGUGAUACGCUCGAUAUGUCCAUGCUUUUCCUUAACAAUUUUUGAAGCAGGAUGGUGUGGUUCAUAGCCCUCAUAUUAAUCUGAUCACCCACCAUUUCUUCUCCUUUAACUAACUAAACAGGCCUUCUAGUAGUACUAUACUUAACUCGUUUAGCAUGAAAAUGCAUAUGAAGUACAUAUAUAUAAAUUAUACUAGUACAUCACUGUUAUUGAUCAAGAAAAUUGUACACCAGAAGUUAUUCUAUCGAUUUUUCGUAGUUCAUAGGCAUUGAGAAAGUGAAAAAUAUUAGUAUUUUUCUCUCCCUCAGAUGACGCUUAUUUGCAUAUGUAUCCUAAACCCUAAUAGUAACACAUAUAUAUGCUACUUAUUUCUUAAAACAAACUCUUGACUUUUAACUAAACUAGGUUACAUAUUCAUGCUGCUGGUGCUAUGCCUGAGUCGUCGUCAUCGUCGUCGUCGUCGUCACCAUCGCCUUCAUUUCUCCCACAUAUGUGGAGAUAAACUGCUUUAUCAGCUUCAUUGCUAGUCAACUUGGGGUAACCCAUCAGCUUCUCAGCACAAAAAAUCACCAUUUUGAUAUAUCUCGAUCUACAGAACGAGGCAAUACUCGAAGUAUAUUAGGGCUAGAGCAAUAGAAUUCCCCCAUUUAUAGCUUCAAAAACCGAUAGCAUUUCAAAUUUUUAGCCCAUUUGGGAUUUGCUUUCACUCAAAAUUAUUCUUUCUUUUAAGAUAACUUUUUACUCUCA